GCAGUGGUGGUCCAGUGGUAGAAUUCUUACUUUCCAUGUGGGAGACUCGGGUUCGAUUCCUGGCCAAUGCA
rnacentral:tRNA from 1 species